ensembl:antisense Atcayos ataxia, cerebellar, Cayman type, opposite strand
GGCUCCUUCAACCCCUGAGAUCUUAAACAAAAUCUCUGGCUUUUCUUCUGACCUGGGAAGGAGGAACUCAGGCUGCGGUGGCCGUGUGCUGUGAACAGAAAGAACCAGGUGAAAAGGGGGUAGGGGGGAGGCAGCUGAUGUUGUGGUUCUGGGAACAAACUGGCCUCUUCAGCCUGGGCUCAUGUUAGAAUUUUGUUCUCCCUGGCUUGUUGGAAGGAGCAGAUGGCCCAGCAUGGGACAAAUGUGAUCCAUAAUGCAAGGAAUGAGGAAACAUGUAGCUCAGGCUAGCCUGUAACUCACUAUGUAGUAACUCCUGAUCCUCCCGCCUCCUCGUGCCAAGUGCUGGUACACCAGGCAUGUGCUGCCACCCAGCGAGGCCAGCAGUCUACCAACUGAGCUAACUGCCAGCUGCCGCCCUUCCAAGCCCAAGCCCGGAAGAUGUGAGUAGCACGGGGCGAGAUUUCUGACCCACAACACCUCCCAUCCCAGCACUGGAGACUGAAGCAUGGAUUCUGAGGCCAGCCUGGGCUACCAAAGAAGACUGUGUUUUAAAAAGAAAAAGAAAAAAAGAAAAUUAAAAUGGACUAACCCUCAAGUGCUGAGAGAGCGGCAGGGGGCCUACUGGGCUCUGCCCACUGCUACAAUGCUUCCUCUUUGAGGUCACUAGGCUACUACCCAGUCGUUGAAGAGGAGUAUAGCUCUGACACCAUGCCAGUGGUUUAAACUGGAUACAGGAGAACUCGCAUGUAAGAUCCACUUCCAGAAGGUCCCAAGAGCACAGAGAUGGGGUGGGAAGUGAAUGGGCACCUCGAACCCUUGUCCCCAUCCAGGGGUGGGAGGGGAUUAGUGUAGGAUGGGAGCAGGGCAUCUUAGUGCAUUAUGGAAAGCUCUAAAGUGGGGGAGUCCAGUGACUGCUCUGCUGUCCACAGCCGUGGGCUAGGACAGAUAAGGUGGGGACAGGCCAGUGAGAGAAACAAGGGAGACCAGCACACAAGGGCCUCAUACCUGGUUCCUCCAGGCCUGGCAGUCCUGUGGUUGUAUCUGUGUGUGGCCAAGCCAGUGAGACUUAGGGAUAACCUGAGACCCUGGGCAUGGCUGGCAUUGUUUAUACGAAUGUGAAUUCUGGGGUCGCCCUGUUUGUGCUCUGAGCUGAGUAAGGCUCUCAACAUAAAUGAGGGAGGCAGGGCCCAGGAAUAUGGCUCAGCAGGUAAAGGUGCUUGCAGCCAGGUCUUGAUGACCCAAGUUCAAUUCCCAUUUGAUGGAAAGAGAACUGACUCCACUCAAGUGAUCUCCACAUGUGUAUGGAUGCAUUCACAACAGAUAAAUAAUAGCUAAUAAUAGCUAAUAAAGUCUUGUUUUCUUUUUUCUUUCUUUCUUUCUUUCUUUCUUUCUUUCUUUCUUUCUUUCUUUCUUUCUUUCUUUCUUUCUAUCUCUCUCCUCUCUCUCUCUGUCUCUCUCUCUUUUUGGUUUUUCCAGACAGGGUUUCUCUGUGUAGCCCUGGCUGUCCUGGAACUCAUUCUGUAGACCAGGCUGGCCUUGAACUCAGAAAUCCGACUGCCUCUGACCCCCAAAUGCUGUGAUUAAAGGCGUGUGCCACCACUGCCCAGCUCUUUUUCUCAUUAUUAACUACCCACCAUUAAAAGUGCUGAAGAUUGAGUUCAUGGACCAACUACAUGUCAGAAAAUGUUUCUACAAGCAAUCCACACUCCCAUGAUGAAUACAAGGUUGCCGGAGUCCUGUAGCUUGAUAUGGAAAUUAGGGGUCUGGUUUUGCAUAUGUGCAUCAAGGACUAGAAAGUCUGGGAUCUGAACACAGGGCUGACUCUAGAGACCUCGUCUGAGAGUCAGGUCUUUGCGUAUGUAUGGGGGUGCAUAUGCACCCCUGCCUACUAAGAGGUCAUAGGACCACUUGUGUGUGAGUCAUGUUUCCUUCCACCACACGGGUCAUAGAGAUCCAGUUCAGGUUGUCAGGCUGGGGAGCAAACCCCGAGCUUGCUGGUGCAGGCAGGCCGGUUGGCCUGUGAAUCCCAAGGUCUGGUCUCUAUCUCCCUAGGUUUUUACAGAUUGGCCCAGCUUUGCCAGGCAGGUCACACAGGUGCCAGGGAUCCGAACUCAGGUCUUCACACUUGUCUGCCAGCACUACCCACCCCUGUCACCUGUGCCUAUGUCCAAAGGUGGAGUUGAGUCUAUGAGUCUCCAGAUCCGUGGCCCUGUCAGGAGACUACACACACUCACCUCUCCCUCUUGGCUCGGAGUCUCUGCUCUUCAUAUCUGAGAGAGAGAGAGGCAGGUUCAGUGAGUGGGAAGGGUGGGACCCUGCCCCAAGCUGUCAGGGCCACAGAGGCCAGGCAAAGGGGACUGGCGAUACAGAUGGGGACUGAACUUCAGAGUGGGGUUGGCUGAACUGGGUAUUGAGAUGAGGUUUCAGUGGUCAGUUUUCUGUAAUAUGUAACUUUUAACUUGAUUUAUUUAAGGUUUAUUUAACUAUAUUAAAUUGAGUGUGCUUAGAGUGCAGUUCCCACAGUGGCCAGAAGGGGCAUCAGGUGCCCAGGAGCUGGAGUUCCAGGUGUUGUGAGCCACUGUGUGGGUGCUGGGAACCGAACCCCUGUCUUCUGAAGGAGGAGCGGGUGUGAUAACCACUGAGCUGUCAUUCCCUGACAUAGUCACUCCCAAACUCAGGGACGCUAAGGCCGGAGGGGCACUUACUGCAGGACACAGUCUGGCAGCUGCACGUGUUCCAUGGGAAUCAGUCGCUCCAGCUCUUCCAGGCUGUGCACGUACUGAAUUUUACUGAUGAACUUGACACUGAGGGAGACAACAGGGUAGACAAGGGGUCAUCAGACAGAGCCAGACUCUGCCCCACCUAGCCUGCCAAGUUGCCCAUGCUGGCCUCGAACCCACUAUCCUCUUGUCUCAGCUUUCUCCCCAGACUUUUCUCAUGGAUUGUCCCAGUGGCCUUUGUGAACUAUGAUGAACAACAAACAUGUCAGACGUGGUUUUUUAGAAUUUUUUUUUUUACAUUUAUUCAUGGUGUGUGCAUAAAUAAAAGUCAAGAGAAGAGC